UUUUGAUUCCCACUGCCACUCUUACCCUGUACUGGAGGCAGAAGGAUCAGAAAGAGCAUCCCUCGCUGUGAGAGGCUCGUGGAGGGCGAGGCGAGGUGCGGAUGAAGGACGCUGGAGAGCUGCUUUAGGACCAGACGGGAGAACCUGCACUUCUUCUUCCUGAGGGCAAUGGGGAGCCAUGGAAGGUUUCCAGAGCUGAACUAGCAUCAUCUGGAGCCCUGUAAAGUCCUGAGAAAC
rnacentral:lncRNA from 1 species